rnacentral:misc_RNA from 1 species
CUCAUCGAAUCAACAUUACCAACUCCUGCUAGUAAAAAAAUUCCUGUGAUUGUAUCCUACAUUAACAAUUUCUAAGUACGCUAAUCAGCUGAAAACAACAUGAAUUUAAAAUUCCAAUUUCCCUGCAAUUGGAAUAAGAUAAAAAGAAUUGACUUGUCAAUAAGGGUCCAUUACACAACCAGUAUACUUGAUGUCUACUUAUUUCCACUUUGGAGUUUGUUUGAAUCACAAAUUAGAUUUAAGAACAUAUUCUAUCUCAUAACACUAUCAGUUUCAUACACCAUCAUUUACAUCAACGAAUCCAUUCAACAACAACAACAUACUCGCUGUAAUCCCACAAGUGAGUUCCGG